UCUGCGGCAGAAGCACCGAGUGGCGGGGGCUGCCGACGGAUGGAGCGGUGCAGGCGGCAGUGCUGUGCGGGAGCGGGCAGCGGGACUUUCCCGGGGAUGGCGCCGGGCGGGAGCGAGUGGCACGGUCUGUCCGGAGCCGCCCCGUUGCGCGGUGCAGGCGCGGUCCCGACGGAGGAACAGAGCGAGCAAGGGUGCGCUUCACCACACGCCGGGAGCUGCGGUCCAGGGGACGGUGCGGGCAGCUUUGCUCUGGGAAAAAUCCUGUGCUAUUCGGACUUGGAGGAGGCAGAAGGCCACUCGGGGUCACAGGCCCCUGGGCACGUGUGCUGCACCUUUUCCCUGUGAAACCAAACAUACCCUCCCUGUGCAUUGUCUGUUCGCAGGAGGCGUGCGGCACUCCAAGGGCAUCAAGAGUUCUUGGUGUCGGCAGCUGCGGUCUCUCAGGAAUAGGUCACUGUCCGCAGUUUUGGGGGCAGAAUCCCAGUUUUGGCCACGGGCACAGAGAGAGGACAUACGAUUAAUUUCCUUGGAAAGUAAAGUCUAGCACACCACUGUUUAGAGGGUAGACCUAGGGCUUUGUAGGGGAGGGAACUCCCCACAGCAGCUUUCUUCACCUCAUCCUCCACUCCACGGUGUAGCAGUUCCCCGUGUGACCUUUUAGAGGGUUACCCGGGAAGGAAAUUCAGGGAAGUGAUACAAAGUUUUUUGUGUAACUGACAGCUUGUAAAGGUGCGGGUGUUGGAGUAGUGGCUGCUGCUGCCUAAAAUCUGUCCCCCACAACCCUCUCCUGUGGAAAAGCAAGUUGAGAUAACCUUCAGGCAACGCAAUCAGACCCUCACUCAACACUCACUGCAGCUGGCUCAGCGAUAAAGGCAAGAAAAGCGAGGUAAAAUAAGAGACUGACCACGUAGAGGAGACAGCUGGAGAAGGGGAAGGGGUGGCGGGCGGAGCUAAGGGUUGGGCAGAGGGGUUUGGUCUCCAGGGAAAGAGGGGUGGCCACCAAGGAUACCAAUCCAGUGAGAGGACAGGGAAAGGAGAAAGCAGGGGAAGUUAGAGGCGAAGUUGCGGCGCGGAAGCCCGAAUGGGAGACUGUUUUUCUCCCCAGGAGGAGCACAGCUUCCUGUAUCUCCAGGCUGUGUCAAGUGUGACACUUCAGAUUUUUUCAGCAGCUUCAUCAUGUUACAAGAGGGAUCUGCUCUGUGUUGAAGAUCAUGUUUGAGAUUGAGGCUUCAGAUGAGUAAAGUUGAGGAUUAUGACUAGAGGCUCACUAAGAGGAUAACCGGCAAUCAUGGGGCAUUCUGAGGCCGACUCAUUUCAGGGCCAACAUGGAUUCAUGUUGCCAGUCAUUUUAAAGAUAAGUCGGGGCCACAGCCUGGAGGUGGGAGUAGUGGCCUCCUUCUGCACCCGAUGGGGAUUUGCAUCCCCAGAUAUGUUCAAGAUAAGUCAAGGGCUACAACCCACAGAGGGGAUGGAAGAGAGGUGCCAGGUUGGGACUCCCCAGGAGGGGUUUUUGAGUUAGUUUUGGAGAUGGGGAUGUCCAAGAAUCAUCCCCUUAGGCCACCUAAAGGGAAAGUGUCUGUUUUGAUCUCAGUGCUGAGAUACACAGGGCAGAGCAGUUCCAGUGUGUGUCUUGUCACUUGUCUCUGGUGCAUUCUGUGGUGUUUGGGUCUCUCGGUCCUUGCAGACAUUCUUCUCAUUGAAAGCUCUCUCUCCCUGUCCUGUCCCCUGGUUUGUCAGGUCCUGUCCUGUGUCACGGGUGUCUGCACAUAUUUGUCCCACAGCUGCUCUGCCCUGCUGCAUAGCCUGUAAUAGCACAAGUCCUGGGGGCUUGAAAUUGGUAAUGCGGGGUGUAGUUGGGCUCUAGAUUGUAUGGGGAGAUUGACAUAACAUGUUUGGUGCUGUUAAGUUGUCCUGCAGCCAUUUGACACUAGUCCUAACUUCCUUUCAGAUGCAGACAGUUCAAAUCUGUGGCAGAGAGCCCCAGUCCUGGGUGAGGGUGUUGCCAUGAGCAGGAGGUCCAGGCAGAUAGCAGCAGUCAAGGCCCAUUGUGCUAGGGUCCCAUCCUGGCAAUGUUACUACGCGAGUGCGUAGUGUUUGUUUUGGUGGGCUUGAGGUCCUGCUGAAGCUGAGGACAAAGCCCUACCCCUACCCCUACACGGACAAGGCAGCAGACCUGAUUCAGGAAGGCAGCGUGCUCCCGGUUGCUACUGGACUCUGAUAACAUCAGCAUCCCCGUCUCUCACAUUGAUGGUAUGUGGUAACCCCUUAAGAACAGAAUUCCACGACUUGGGACUGACUACCUUUUCUAAACCUAAGCAGCAAACUGGGGAUGGAUAACACUAGAAAUCCUGUUAUGUAAGGAUCUCCAGGAUUCAGCUCUCCAUGUGUCCUUGGUAUCAGAAGUUGGAAUUGCAGAGUUGCCACUUUACCCCCAAAUGUAAUUUUUGAUGUGGUUGUGCCACUUUAACAGUAUUUGAAAUCUCUCUUUGUGCUCUUGCAGCAGCAUUUUCGAACGACAAUGGACAUUCAGUCCUUCUGCCCGGAGCUGUUCACAGAAUCAAGGAAUCCCAGAAGGGCUUGGAUGGGAAGGCACCUUUUUUUAAAGCUCGUCCCGUUCCACACCCUGCCAUGGGCAGGGACACCUUCCACCAUCCCAGGGUGCUCUAAGCCCUGUCCAGCCUGGCCUUGGACACUUCCAGGGAUCCGGGGGCAGGCACAGCUUCUGUGGGCAACCUGUGCUGGACAGCAGCUUUGAAAGGCAGAGUGAAGAACAGCUGUGAUUUUUGUGCUGCCCCUAACA